GCCGCCGCUGAGCGAGCUGCCACUGUACGCCUAGCCUCCUGCAGCGUACCCCGCUGUAUAGAAGCUGUGCAGCUGUCGCUCCGUGUAGUGACGUCACGCAGGUGACGUCGGCGUGACAGGGGCGAGCUGCGCGCACCUGUGGAGCGGCGCUGACGGCCGCAGUGGCUCCUGGACUCUCACCGGACCCUCAUCACACUGACAUGGACGCCGACACCAGCGCCGACACCAGGUGCGACGCGCCGAUGCUGAACGGCGGCGGCGG